AAGCUUCACUCGUCCUCCACCGGGUUCAACACGUGAUAAGGAAACCCUAAAAGAAAUCCAUAUCCGCGCGGAGAAAUCCCUAGUUCCAAAUGCUCGACGUGUAAAGCUUUGCCCAGAAAAAUUCAGGGAUUCGAUUUCUCAUCUCCAAAAUCCCGAAUCCAAACAUGUUGAAUCUAGGUCGAAACGAAAAGGGUGUUCCUUCAUGAACCAAGAAUUCUGCUUUAACAAGAUUCAAGCUCCACCCUCAAACGAAGAAUCAAGGAUGAAUCCUCGGAACACAAUCACAACCAAAAUCGAAAUCGCUUAAGGCUCGUUCUUGCGUACGGGCGAAAUCGACCGGAGAACGAAUGGCGUACCCGGUUCGUGCGCGCUUGCGAUGGUUGUUGAAGCGAGGAAGGUGAAGACGAUGAAUGAAGAGGUUGAUGCGUCACGAUUGGUGAAGGUGGAUGACGCGUCGCGAUCGACAAAGAGCCUAUGAUGCGGUGCGAUUGAUGAAGAUCUUUGAGAAAUCCUUGGUAUGCUUCUGUUUGAUUUUCUCUCUUCUGUUUUCUGCUAUUGUUCCGUUUUUCUGCUAAUGUUAGCAGUUGGUUUCGUCUUCUGUCAUAAUCGUCGCGCGUGGAUUGGAACGAGGAGCGAAGGUGAUAUUCGAUUCGUGUCGGCUUCAAAGUUCCAAAACGGUUUCCAGGUGACAAGCUUCCUUCUUCUUCCUUUUCUUCCAACGUCUUGUUCCUCUUUUCUUCUGUUUCUGCUCUGCGUGAGUUUUGAGUUCCUUUUUUGGUAUUAUGCACGGUGAUGGAAAGGGAGAAGAGGAUUUUGUUACUCCAUGGUUGUUGCAGGUUAGAGAUGGUUAUGAAGGGUUGUUGAAAGGGAAGUUUAGGGUGGAGAAAUGAAGUUUUGCAGGGUUAAAGUGUUGGUUGAAGAAGAUGGAUCUAUGAGUGAAGUGAGGGUGAAUGUGGUUUUUGAUUGUGAUGGAAGAUUGUUGGAGAGUGAGGGUGAAGAAGUGCAGUGAGGUUUUGAAGAAUAAGGAGUGGAAAAUCCUGAAUCAGAAUGGUGAGUUAUAUAUAGACUUCUCUCCUUCCAAAUUCUGUUAGGAAAAUCGGUUAGGAACUGUUAUGAGUUGGUUAGAUUCAAUGGGAGUUUAGGUUAUAUUAGUUAUGAACUGGUUAGAUCCAAUAUAAAUUUCUAUUAGAGUUUUUGUUGAGUAUUAAUUGAAUUCGGAUGUUUUUAUGCUUAUACAGGUCUUUAGCUUCGGUAAUAUCAGCAGGCAGGUUUCUCACAUAGACAGAUGUUACUUCUUCAUGGUCAAAUUUGUAGCCAUCCACUGCUGCAUCGGCCCUUGACUCUGAAGUAUAUGCAGAUACUAAGCUUGACUGCUGAUAAACAGGCUUCACCACAGCCUGCUGAGUAGCAGGCUGUGUCACAUGAUUAAACUCUGAAGGAGGAGAACUUUGAAAAGAAUGAUGUGGGGCAUGUUCGAGU
rnacentral:lncRNA from 1 species